GCCUUCGUGGUGUAAUGGUCAGCACACUGAGCCGGUAUUUCACAGGUCCGCGGUUCGAUUCCCAGCGAAGGCG
rfam:Stegodyphus mimosarum contig46138, whole genome shotgun sequence.